rnacentral:rRNA from 1 species
GAUGAACGCUGGCGGCGUGCCUAAUACAUGCAAGUCGAGCGAACGUACGAGAAGCUUGCUUUUCUGAUGUUAGCGGCGGACGGGUGAGUAACACGUGGAUAACCUACCUAUAAGACUGGGAUAACUUCGGGAAACCGGAGCUAAUACCGGAUAAUAUUUUGAACCGCAUGGUUCAAAAGUGAAAGACGGUCUUGCUGUCACUUAUAGAUGGAUCCGCGCUGCAUUAGCUAGUUGGUAAGGUAACGGCUUACCAAGGCAACGAUGCAUAGCCGACCUGAGAGGGUGAUCGGCCACACUGGAACUGAGACACGGUCCAGACUCCUACGGGAGGCAGCAGUAGGGAAUCUUCCGCAAUGGGCGAAAGCCUGACGGUGCAACGCCGCGUGAGUGAUGAAGGUCUUCGGAUCGUAAAACUCUGUUAUUAGGGAAGAACAUAUGUGUAAGUAACUGUGCACAUCUUGACGGUACCUAAUCAGAAAGCCACGGCUAACUACGUG